CCUUUGGCGUUGAGUCAUGCCGGCCACAUGACCACGGAGACGCCUUCGGACAGCGCUGGCUCUUCAGCUUUGAAAUGGAGAUGAGCACCGCCCCCUAGAGUUGGGAACACUUAGCACAUAUGUGCGAGGGGAACCUUUGCCUAAUUUAUUAGAGGAUGACCCUUUAAGUCAACUUGAUAUCUGAUGAGGUUACGUCUAUAUUGUUUGCUAAGUUGGCAAGAUGGAAGUGAUUUGUCAUUGAUUUCUUUUGGCCUGUGUAUUUUAUUUCAUUCUUACUUGAAAUUAUUAUUUUGUUCUUUAUUCUUGGGGGUGGUUUAGAUAACUGACUGACUCAAUGUUUUGGGCAAGUCCCUGCAGAUGGAUUUAUUUCGUAACCCAUUAACCUUCCUUGAAUUCAGCGCAGUAAGGCGAUAAAACUUCAGCGCAAAACCGGAAGGUUUUCUGCUUUCCGCAGGGAGUUGGACUAGAAGACUUCCGAGCUCCCUUUCAGCUCUAUGCUUCUAUGUUCUAAAUGUUCUUUGUUUCCAGAGAACAAAUGCAGAGUCAAACUUGAGCCUACUGUAAAUGAUUUUUAACUAAAAAGAGAAAAAAAAUUCCCAUUCUUUGCCAUGAAGACUGCCACUGGAACAGAACAGAAUAACAGAACUGGAAGGGACUUUGGAGGUCUUCUAGUCCAACCCCCCGCUCAGACAGAAAACCCUAUAGCAUCUCAAACAAAUGGCUGCCCAAUCUCUUCUUUAAAAAACUCCAGUGAAGAAGCAUUCACAACUGCUGAAGGCAAGCCCUUCCACUGAUUAAUUGUUCUAACUGUCAGGAAAUUUCUCCUUACUUCUAAGUUGCUUCUCUCCUUGCUUAGUUUCCAUUCGUUGCUUCUUGUUCUGCCUUCUGGUGCUUUGGAGAAUAAUUUGAUCCCCUCUUCUUUGGGGCAGCCCCUCAAAUACUGGAAUACUGCUAUUAUGUCACCCUUAGUCCUUCUUUUCAUUAAACUAGACAUACCCAAUUCCUGCAAUCCUUCUUCAUGUGUUUUAAACUCCAGUUCCCUCCCUUGACAGGAAAGCAGUUUGAGCUUAUUUUGGGCUGGCUGAGAUGUCGGACCAGACGAGUCUUCAACCUGAGCUAUAGCAUCUCUCUCUCCCUGCAGUGGACCUAGGCUUUAAUGCCAAAAAAUGUAUUUCAAGAGCAUGUUGAUUUAAGAGCUCAGCGUUAAAUCCACAGAAAAGACAGAUCCACAUGUCAAACAAGGAGGAGAAAUUGAAAGCAUCCUUUGUGGCAGCCUCUUCAUAGCAACCCAGCAUGGAUCCAAGUUAGAUGCAUUAUUCCAAUUAUUCUUUUUAUUUUUUUCCCUGAAGGUGGGGUGGGGCUCCGUCAUUUUGCAAAAAAGGGGGAGCGAAUCAGAUUCAUUCUCUCUCUCUCUCUCUUUCUCUCUCUCUCUCUCUCCCUCCCUCCCUCCCUCCACUUCUUCCUUCAUCCAGAGGGAAUCUCGAGGGAAGAGCAGAGCAAGAAAAUUGCUUUGUCUCGUGGGCGUGCAUCUCCUGCAAAGCUUCAAUGCAUAAAACGCCACCGGUGAAGGAUGAAGAGCGCGGGGAGCUUGUGGCAGCUUGGAGGCUGAGAAGAAACCGGAGGUGAGCCGAGCAAGCCAUGGCCUCCCGUCGCACGAUUUUGCUCACUGGCUUCACAACUGGCCGGUAUCAUCCUCUCGGGGAGCCUGAUCGCCAGGGGUUGAAUUGGGGGGCAGAAAGGAGAAAUUGCUAGCCAAGAUCAUUCCUUCUCUGGCCUGCCAGCAUCCAUGACCCCCAGGCCCGAUGAAGCGGGCUCUGAGGUGCCACAGAUGGACCCAGCCAUCCUCAUCUUUCUCCUGUAUCUGACGAUCAUCCAUGAGCUGGUGAGUGGCUGGAUGGAGUAUCAGAAGCAGGCCACCAAGCCGAAGAAGCAGGCUGGUCCUCCUUGGUCAGGCAGCGGCUCUUCCCAAGGAAACCGUUCAAGCGCGUCUCACUCGUUGGCUUACCCAGCGCCACGAGAGCGAUCCAAGGACUGGAGGAAGCCAGGCAGAAUCAUCCGGAAAGCGUAAAACCGGCUUCAUGAUCUCAAUCCACCGGGUUCAGCUAAGGAAGCUGUCGAGAAACAUGGCCGAUUGGAGAUUCCACGUUGAUCCUGGCUGUGCGGCUGUUCUGUCUAGCUGCGAUUGAACUCGGAGCAUCUUCCAAGCAGCUUAGCAUGGUAGGUCCAAGAUCAGACAGCGCACCCGAGUUCCCCGAAUGAAACAGGUAUCUGUAAAUAGCGGAGCACCGUUGACAUGGUGCUUUUAGCAUCAUCCAGAGCAACCGAUGGACCGAUCCUCACAGUGGAUGAACAUUGUACCUUCACAAGCAUGUGGCAGAAUGAAGAAGACGACUGCUUGAAUGGAUGACCGUAGAACAGACCAAGUGUUGUGUCCUGCCGGUGGCCAGCAGAGCUGGCAGCAAAGUCGGAUAGUGAGGAGGUUGGGGAGGAACUUGGGCCAGUCCUGGGGGCUGGGGAAAGCUCAGACAAGGGCUCUGAGCUAGACAGCAGUGAGGCAGAGGAACAGCUGGAGCCCGUUCCCAGUAUGCGCGUGCGCAGAGCUGCCAGAAGACAAGAACAACUCAGAAAGCAGGGUCGACUCAGGAGUAAAGCCACCCCUUGGAGGUGAUUGGCCCCUCCCAUAGAAAAUAAAAGAGGAGCAAACAGGGAGUGGGCCUUUGCAGGAAGCAAUUCAUUCAUUCCGUGACUCUGAGAGACUCUGUGCCAUGUUUGGCCUUGUACUGCGGUUGGAAACAAUUCACGUGGCAGCUUGCCCAAUGAGAUGAGGUCUGUGUUGAGAAGUAUUCCUUUGAAAAACUGUUUGGACAAACUUUGCUGACUGUGAAUGAACGUAAUUCACAGUCUGUGUAAAUAAAAGAGGUUUUUGCCGGGACCAAUUCCUGCCUCCUGCUUGUUAAGGGAGAGUAGGUCAGAACACCAAGAUGGACAAAGAAAGGGAUGCAAGAAAGUACUACGUCCCCAAAGGAAUUUAUUUAUUUAUUUAUUUAUUUAUUUUAUUUGUCAAGAACGUAUUAGGUAAUAUAUACAAGCAUGGAUUGGAUACAUAAAAUAGAUACAAAUAGAGGAAACAUUAGGACAGGGAUGGAAGGCACGCUGGUGCACUUAUGCACGCCCCUUACAGACCUCUUAGGAAUGGGGUGAGGUCAACAAUAGACAGUCUAAGGUUAAAGUUUUGGGGGUUUUGGGAUGACACCAGAGUCAGAUAGUGCAUUCCAGGCAUUGACCACUCUGUUGUUGAAGUCAUAUUUUCUGCAAUCGAGUUUGGAAUGGUUCACUUUAAGUUUGUAUCUAUUGUGUGCUCGUGUAUUGUUGUGGUUGAAGCUGAAAUAGUUGACAGGUAGGACAUUUUAGCAGAUAAUUUUAUGAGCUACGCUUAGGUCAUACCGAAGGCGGCAUAGAUCUAAGUUUUCUAAGCCCAGAAUUUCAAGUCUGGUGGCAUAAGGUAUUUUGUUGCGAGCAGAGGAGUGGAGGACUCUCCUUGUGAAAUACUUCUAGAUACGUUCAAUUGUAUUAAUGUCCGAUAUGCAGUGCGGGUUCCAGACAGAUGAGCUGCAUUCGAGAAUUGGUCUAGCAAAGGUUUUGUAUGCUUUGGUGUGAUAUUACCGGAGAAGAAGCUACGCAAGAUUAGGUUGACAACUCUUAAUGCCUUUUUGACGAUGUUGUUGGUUGAGAUUUGGAGUUGCCAAUUGUUUGACCAUUCUGACACAAAGUUAAGGUCUUUUUGAAGGGUAGCAGUAUUGUCGGUGGUGUUAAAUAUUUUUACAUCAUCAGCGAAAAGAACGCAGUUGCUUAAUAAUAUGAUCACAAAGCUCAUUUAUGUGUAGUAUGAAGAAUGUUGGUCCUAGAACGCUGGAUUGGAGCUUUCUUAUUGAUAUGGGUAAUUUGUUUUUCCUGGUUUUGGUGGUGAUUAGUGGUAUAUAUAGUUUAAUAACUCUAUUGAUUUCGAGCCAGAAAAUGUUAUAAUGGUCUUCGGCAGUGUUACAGCCAGAGAAUAGAAUUUGCCAAUCAAGAAAUUAGAGGUCGGUGUCUAUGAGAUCACAGUUGGCUUUUUUGAAGUUGUAAUUGAGUAUCCCAUUAUUUUGGUGAUUUUUGUAAGGGCGUAUAUUGAGACAAAAGUCAAUCAUGCUGUGGUCACUUUUAUUUAUUUAAUUUAAUUUAUUUAACUGUGGUCACAAUCAGAGGAUUAAAACAUUGGGAGAUGGCAGUGGAAGUUGAGGUAGAAGGGGGUGGCCUCAACAUGUAGGUGACACAGGGAUUGGCCAGUGGAUGGAGAAGAUGAAGAGCAUGGGAAUUAACACAGUGCUAGGGAAGAAGUUAUGAAGAAGCCUGCUAGGACAGAAACAUCUCAGCUCUCCUCUGUUAACCCUGGUGAUGGUGAUCAUCCUUGGUUUGGGCAACCAUCAACCUUUGGGGCAAUUCCUCUCCAUAUCUAAGCUUCUCUGCUCAGCACUCUUCUACCUGGUAGCAACUUCUUUUGAUCCUCCUCAGCUUCCUUUCUUUUUGUCCUCCUUGAAGAAACUCCUACUGGGUGUUCGAACCUGACUUUUUCUCCAAGACCUACUAUUCUUCUCCACCCUCAAGACCUCGACCAUCAAUGACUUGCCAAUGUACCUUAUGAUUGACGUACCUUAUGAUUCUUGUCGAAUAUAUCUUUUCUUUUAUGUACACCGAGAGCAUAUGCACCAAGACAGAUUCAUUGUGUGUCCAUUCACACUUGGCCAAUAAAAAUUCUAUUCUAUUCUA